rnacentral:misc_RNA from 1 species
AAGUCGUAACAAGGUUUCCGUAGGUGAACCUGCGGAAGGAUCAUUAAAAAAUGAGGUAUUUUUUAUACCUCUUGUAUUUAAAACCCGACUCUUAAAAUAUAUAUUUUUUUUCAAAAAAAAAAAAAACUUUCAACAAUGGAUCUCUUGGCUCUC